rnacentral:misc_RNA from 1 species
AAAAUGCGAUAAGUAAUGUGAAUUGCAGAAUUCAGUGAAUCAUCGAAUCUUUGAACGCACAUUGCGCCCGCCAGUAUUCUGGCGGGCAUGCCUGUUCGGGCGUCAUUUCAACCCUCAAGCCCCCGGGUUUGGUGUUGGGGAUCGGGCUGCGGUUCUACCGCGUCCCGGCCCCGAAAUCUAGUGGCGGUCUCGCUGCAGCCUCCAUUGCGUAGUAGCUAACACCUCGCAACUGGAACGCGGCGCGGCCAAGCCGUUAAACCCCCAACUUCUGAAUGUUGACCUCGGAUCAGGUAGGAAUACCCGCUGAACUUAAGC